rnacentral:rRNA from 1 species
CGAAAGCCUGACGGAGCAAUACCGCGUGAGGGAGGAAGGCUCUUGGGUUGUAAACCUCUUUUCUCAGGGAAGAAGAUCUGACGGUACCUGAGGAAUAAGCAUCGGCUAACUCCGUGCCAGCAGCCGCGGUAAUACGGAGGAUGCAAGCGUUAUCCGGAAUUAUUGGGCGUAAAGCGUCCGCAGGUGGUUUUUCAAGUCUGCUGUUAAAGACUGGAGCUCAACUCCGGAAAGGCAGUGGAAACUGGAAGACUAGAGUUCGGUAGGGGUAGCGGGAAUUCCCAGUGUAGCGGUGAAAUGCGUAGAGAUUGGGAAGAACAUCGGUGGCGAAAGCGCGCUACUGGACCGAGACUGACACUCAGGGACGAAAGCUAGGGGAGCGAAAGGGAUUAGAUACCCCUGUAGUCCUAGCUGUAAACGAUG